rnacentral:rRNA from 1 species
UACGAAUGGUGCAAGCGUUGUUCGGAAUCACUGGGCAUAAAGGGUGCGUAGGCGGUUUGGUAAGUCAUUUGUGAAAGCCCUCGGCUCAACCGGGGAAUUGCAGGUGAUACUGCCAGGCUUGAGGGUGCGAGGGGUGAGCGGAAUUCCAGGUGUAGCGGUGAAAUGCGUAGAUAUCUGGGAGAACGCCGGAGGCGAAGGCGGCUCACUGGCGCACACCUGACGCUGAGGCACGAAGGCGUGGGGAGCAAACAGGAUUAGAUACCCGCGUA